GCCAUAGGUAAUUGUUCCAAUGCAUCCUGCUCCUGCUGCUGCAAUCACAAAUGAGCCAGUACAGAGGCGGCAUGCACUGUUGAGGCUAUGCCCAUCCAGUCUGACUUGUCGACUCUUUUCGAGUCAAUGCAGAGUUAUAUGGAGCAAGAAUAGGAUGAAAUAAACCAGCAUUACAGGGUAUCUUUGAGAACUGCUGCUAUUCUUCUGAAAAUGUGGGAUUUCCUGUUGUAUUGUAUUGCCUCCUUACAUCAACUCCUUGCAUAUGCUAUACAAAAUGAGGAGUCCCGUAAUCAAUCCAUCCGCCACAAAUCUGAAAAGACGUGCGAUAUGCUCCACGCAGAGUUCAUAAAGCUUGACAAAGGACCCAAGCCCUGCUGCGUCCUGUAGAAUUCCUGCAUGUGUGCAUCGAUGCUUAGCUGGGUUUUAAGUGGUUCUAGUUUAUUACUGUACUAAAAAGUUGAAUUUAUAUAUGAAGCACAUACUUUCAGCUGAUUCUGGGUUUUUGUCGAACGAAUAGGCAACGGAAUGAAGUAUGUCCUGCAGGGAUUGGAAUUAGCUAGAGGUAGUCAGACUAAGAAAUAUAGUUGGAUGCAGCAGCAGAAUAAAUUAUGCCUACCAAUGCCCGGUUUCCUUGUUUCACAGGAUCUUACCAAGGUGCCACAAUACCACGGCAGCAGUGGGUUCUACUCCUUGACAAACCUCAUCGAUAGCAAAUUUGGCGUUCUCCCCCAUGGAUCCCAUGAGCCUUGCGAAAGAUAUUGGAGCAGAUGAGAUGAGAGAAUAACCUUGAAGUUGAGUGGUUUGUAAUAUGAAGCGUGCUCGACAGUGCAAUCAGGGUCAACCAGCUCCAUGAGCCGUGCGAUGUCCUUGUCAUUGAGGGAGGAGUAG